AAAGGUAUUCCGGUAGACGAUGGGGAUGCGUUCCAUUAGAUAGUAGGCGGGGUAACGGCCCACCUAGUCUUCGAUGGAUAGGGGUUCUGAGAGGAAGGUCCCCCACAUUGGAACUGAGACACGGUCCAAACUCCUACGGGAGGCAGCAGUGAGGAAUAUUGGUCAAUGGGCGAGAGCCUGAACCAGCCAAGUAGCGUGAAGGAUGACUGCCCUAUGGGUUGUAAACUUCUUUUAUAAAGGAAUAAAGUCGGGUAUGCAUACCCGUUUGCAUGUACUUUAUGAAUAAGGAUCGGCUAACUCCGUGCCAGCAGCCGCGGUAAUACGGAGGAUCCGAGCGUUAUCCGGAUUUAUUGGGUUUAAAGGGAGCGUAGAUGGAUGUUUAAGUCAGUUGUGAAAGUUUGCGGCUCAACCGUAAAAUUGCAGUUGAUACUGGAUAUCUUGAGUGCAGUUGAGGCAGGCGGAAUUCGUGGUGUAGCGGUGAAAUGCUUAGAUAUCACGAAGAACUCCGAUUGCGAAGGCAGCCUGCUAAGCUGCAACUGACAUUGAGGCUCGAAAGUGUGGGUAUCAAACAGGAUUAGAUACCCUGGUAGUCCACACGGUAAACGAUGAAUACUCGCUGUUUGCGAUAUACUGCAA
rnacentral:rRNA from 1 species